rnacentral:rRNA from 1 species
GCUUAACACAUGCAAGUCGAACGGCAGCGCGAAGGAAGCCUGCUUUCUUUGGCGGCGAGUGGCGAACGGGUGAGUAACGUAUCGGAACGUGCCCAGUAGCGGGGGAUAACUGGCCGAAAGGUCAGCUAAUACCGCAUACGCCCUACGGGGGAAAGGGGGGGAUCGCAAGACCUCUCACUAUUGGAGCGGCCGAUAUCGGAUUAGCUAGUUGGUGGGGUAAAGGCCUACCAAGGCGACGAUCCGUAGCUGGUUUGAGAGGACGACCAGCCACACUGGGACUGAGACACGGCCCAGACUCCUACGGGAGGCAGCAGUGGGGAAUUUUGGACAAUGGGGGGAACCCUGAUCCAGCCAUCCCGCGUGUGCGAUGAAGGCCUUCGGGUUGUAAAGCACUUUUGGCAGGGAAGAAACGGCCCGGGAUAAUACCCUGGCUAAUGACGGUACCUGCAGAAUAAGCACCGGCUAACUACGUGCCAGCAGCCGCGGUAAUAC